GGUGGCUCAGUGGUAGAGCGCUUGCCUUGUAUGCAUUAGGCCCUGAGUUCAAUUCCCCAGCACCA
rnacentral:tRNA from 1 species